rnacentral:rRNA from 1 species
GACGAACGCUGGCGGCGUGCCUAAUACAUGCAAGUCGAGCGAACGGACGAGAAGCUUGCUUCUCUGAUGUUAGCGGCGGACGGGUGAGUAACACGUGGAUAACCUACCUAUAAGACUGGGAUAACUUCGGGAAACCGGAGCUAAUACCGGAUAAUAUUUUGAACCGCAUGGUUCAAAAGUGAAAGACGGUCUUGCUGUCACUUAUAGAUGGAUCCGCGCUGCAUUAGCUAGUUGGUAAGGUAACGGCUUACCAAGGCAACGAUGCAUAGCCGACCUGAGAGGGUGAUCGGCCACACUGGAACUGAGACACGGUCCAGACUCCUACGGGAGGCAGCAGUAGGGAAUCUUCCGCAAAGGGCGAAAGCCUGACGGAGCAACGCCGCGUGAGUGAUGAAGGUCUUCGGAUCGUAAAACUCUGUUAUUAGGGAAGAACAUAUGUGUAAGUAACUGUGCACAUCUUGACGGUACCUAAUCAGAAAGCCACGGCUAACUACGUG